GUAAGUUGGUCUGCGGUGCAGGAAGAGGCAAUGAGAGACAGCAUACGAGGGUGGUUGAGAGCUUGGGUUCUGAGCUAAACCACAUGAUUUUGGAUUGUGGGUCGGCUUUUAUAUACAUCCUAGCUGUGUGACUUUGGGAGGAAGAAAGGCAACAAGAUGUUAAAGGAACGAAAUACCAUUGAUUUUGCUUUUGUGUAGCCCAGCGAUGUUUUACCAAAGCUGGACCUGGCUCUUGGCCCGUGCAUCUAAUAAGGCAUGUGACUCAGAUACUCAUGACGCACGGAGGAGAGCUGCCAUGCAGGAAGCUUUUGUGCGGCUUUGCACACACGCAGUGGCAGACCAAAUCAGGAUAGAACUUGUAAUCUUUAGUGGAAACAGCA
rnacentral:lncRNA from 1 species